GACGAACGCUGGCGGCGUGCUUAACACAUGCAAGUCGAACGGAAAGGCCCUGCUUUUGUGGGGUGCUCGAGUGGCGAACGGGUGAGUAACACGUGAGUAACCUGCCCUUGACUUUGGGAUAACUUCAGGAAACUGGGGCUAAUACCGGAUAGGAGCUCCUGCUGCAUGGUGGGGGUUGGAAAGUUUCGGCGGUUGGGGAUGGACUCGCGGCUUAUCAGCUUGUUGGUGGGGUAGUGGCUUACCAAGGCUUUGACGGGUAGCCGGCCUGAGAGGGUGACGGGCCAGAGUGGGACUGAGGUACGGCCCAGACUGCUACGGGAGGCAGCAGUGGGGAAUAUUGCACAAUGGGCGGAAGCAUGAUGGAGAAACGCCGCGUGCGGGAUGACGGCCUUCGGGUUGAAAGCCACUUUCGCCUGUGAGGAAGCGUGAGUGACGGUAAUGGGUAAAGAAGCACCGGCUAACUACGU
rnacentral:rRNA from 1 species